ensembl:snRNA U6 U6 spliceosomal RNA
GUGCUUCAGCAGCACAUAUACUAAAAUUGGAACAGUACAGAGAAAAUUAGCAUGGCCCCUGCACAAGCAUGACAUGCAAAUUCAUGAGGUGUUCCAUAUUUUA